rnacentral:tRNA from 1 species
GCAUUGGUGGUUCAGCGGUAGAAUUCUCGCCUUCCACGUGGGAGACCUGGGUUUGAUUCCCAGACAAUGCC